rnacentral:rRNA from 1 species
GAUGAACGCUGGCGGCGUGCCUAAUACAUGCAAGUCGAGCGAACAGAUGAGGAGCUUGCUCCUCUGACGUUAGCGGCGGACGGGUGAGUAACACGUGGAUAACCUACCUAUAAGACUGGGAUAACUUCGGGAAACCGGAGCUAAUACCGGAUAAUAUAUUGAACCGCAUGGUUCAAUAGUGAAAGACGGUUUUGCUGUCACUUAUAGAUGGAUCCGCGCCGCAUUAGCUAGUUGGUAAGGUAACGGCUUACCAAGGCAACGAUGCGUAGCCGACCUGAGAGGGUGAUCGGCCACACUGGAACUGAGACACGGUCCAGACUCCUACGGGAGGCAGCAGUAGGGAAUCUUCCGCAAUGGGCGAAAGCCUCACGGAGCAACGCCGCGUGAGUGAUGAAGGUCUUCGGAUCGUAAAACUCUGUUAUUAGGGAAGAACAAAUGUGUAAGUAACUAUGCACGUCUUGACGGUACCUAAUCAGAAAGCCACGGCUAACUACGUG